rnacentral:rRNA from 1 species
GACGAACGCUGGCGGCGUGCUUAACACAUGCAAGUCGAGCGGUAAGGCCCUUUCGGGGGUACGACGAGCGGCGAACGGGUGAGUAACACGUGGGUGACCUGCCCUCAGCUCUGGGAUAAGCCCUGGGAAACCGGGGUACUAAUACCGGAUAUGACUCCAUGACGCAUGUUGUGGGGUGGAAAGCCUUGUGCGGCUGAGGAUGGGCCCGCGGCCUAUCACGCUUGUUGGUGGGGUGAUGGCCUACCAAGGCGACGA